rnacentral:rRNA from 1 species
AUGCAGGGGAACGAGGCGAAGGCGACUCCGGGGAUUGUAGACGAUGGGAAGCUCGGGAACGGCAGUUGCAUUCACCGCAGCGGAUGGCCGGCGUCGGUAAGGAUGGAGCCGAGGCCAUGGUGGAUCCGCCGACGAACUGAGAUAAGGGAGAGAUGCGCCGGGGAGUGGGUGGAGCAGUGGUGGUGGAGAGAGAGGGAGGGGAUGCUUGGCUCGCUCGAAUUCGAGCAGAGGCCAUCGGCGGCCAAGGCGGCCAUUGGAAGGGAGAAGAGGCUCUCGGGCUCCGGUGAGAGGCUGGGGAGGGCUAGUGGAGUGUGA